UACGUAGGGGGCAAGCGUUGUCCGGAUUUAUUGGGCGUAAAGAGCGUGUAGGCGGCCAAGCAGGUCCGCUGUGAAAACUCGAGGCUCAACCUCGAGACGUCGGUGGAAACCGUUUGGCUAGAGUCCGGAAGAGGAGAGUGGAAUUCCCGGUGUAGCGGUGAAAUGCGCAGAUAUCGGGAAGAACACCCGUGGCGAAGGCGGCUCUCUGGGACGGUACUGACGCUGAGACGCGAAAAGCGUGGGGAGCGAACAGG
rnacentral:rRNA from 1 species